UCCUUCCCCCACACCUUACUACUGCUUUGAACCAGUGUGCUGCAUUGAAAGAGAUAGAUGAGGAAACCCAGGCCUGGAGAGGUCAAGCAACUUGCUCAAGUGGCACAGCUGGAGAGUGGGGAGCUGGGACUUGAGCCCAGGUAGUGUGUCCCCAGCACCUUCAACUAAACUCCAUUCUGUGCUGCCCUUUGGAACACCCACUCAAUGGCCUUCACACUCCAUGUCCUACUUGGGAGGACAUGUGAUCUCAACAGCACUCACAAAUGAAGGCUUUCCAGACAGGAUAUUGAAGAUGGGAGGUGUGAGCUGUGGGAGAGAGCUGACUAAGAAGAAGAAACUCCCCAGAAAGGUGGCCUGCCAGUCUUCACGAUGUAUGGGAGCAGGUGGGAAAAGAGCUGCAAGUGUUUGCACUUCAUCAUUGAAAUUGUUGAAACUGCUGAUCAGGAAACACAGAAUGAGUUUAACCAGCGAUGCCAACUUCUGCAAGAUGGACUCCAGCUUGGGAGCUCUGUAUGGAA
rnacentral:lncRNA from 1 species